rnacentral:rRNA from 1 species
AAACUUUCAACAACGGAUCUCUUGGCUCUGGCAUCGAUGAAGAACGCAGCGAAAUGCGAUAAGUAAUGUGAAUUGCAGAAUUCAGUGAAUCAUCGAAUCUUUGAACGCACAUUCCGCCCCUUGGUAUUCCGAGGGGCAUGCCUAUACGAGCGUCAUU